GAUGAACGCUGGCGGCGUGCCUAAUACAUGCAAGUCGAGCGAACAGACGAGGAGCUUGCUCCUCUGACGUUAGCGGCGGACGGGUGAGUAACACGUGGAUAACCUACCUAUAAGACUGGGAUAACUUCGGGAAACCGGAGCUAAUACCGGAUAAUAUAUUGAACCGCAUGGUUCAAUAGUGAAAGACGGUUUUGCUGUAACUUAUAGAUGGAUCCGCGCCGCAUUAGCUAGUUGGUAAGGUAACGGCUUACCAAGGCAACGAUGCGUAGCCGACCUGAGAGGGUGAUCGGCCGCACUGGAGCUGAGACACGGUCCAGACUCCUACGGGAGGCAGCAGUAGGGAAUCUUCCGCAAUGGGCGAAAGCUUGACGGAGCAACGCCGCGUGAGUGAUGAAGGUCUUCGGAUCGUAAAACUCUGUUAUUAGGGAAGAACAAAUGUGUAAGUAACUGUGCACGUCUUGACGGUACCUAAUCAGAAAGCCACGGCUAACUACGUG
rnacentral:rRNA from 1 species